rnacentral:misc_RNA from 1 species
UCCUGGUUAACCCAGGCAGUCUCGUUAGAGUUCCCGCCUCUACGCGUUGGCAACUAACGAUAAGGGUUGCGCUCGUUGCUGGACUUAACCAAACACCUCACGGCACGAGCUGACGACAGCCAUGCAGCACCUAUAUAGAGACCCUUUCGAGAAACAUCAUCUCUGAUGUCGUCCUCUACAUUUCGAGCCCAGGUAAGGUUCUUCGCGUUGCAUCGAAUUAAACCACAUGCUCCACUGCUUGUGCGGGCCCCCGUCAAUUCUUUUGAGUUUCACCCUUGCGGCCGUACUCCCCAGGUGGCUUACUUAACGGUUUCCCUUGGACGCACAACAUCUAGUGCCACACGUCGAGUAAGCAUCGUUUAGGGCGUGGACUAC